CCGUGGUUCCUCUAACCCUAACCCAUCUGGCUGUGGGCGCCGUGCUUUUGCUCCCCGCGCGCUGUUUUUCUCGCUGGCUUUCAGCGGGCAGAAAAGCGUCGGCCUACCGCCGUCCACCAGGCAUUCUGAACAUUGGAAUUUUUAAUGCCUAUGG
rnacentral:sRNA from 1 species